rnacentral:SRP_RNA from 1 species
CCGUGCUAGAUGGGGAGUUGGCGGUGCCCUGUGACUCGCAAUCCGCCUUAGCGAGAUUGAAUUCCUAUCUGCGGUAUCGUUUAUGUAAGGUUUGCCUUAUGCAAGCGGUGUUGACCAUUGGGGUCCACGCAACAGAAACCUAUGAAACUGGUCAGGUCCGGAAGGAAGCAGCCAUAAAUAGAUCAUUCUGUGUGCCGUGGGUUACCCUGAUUGAGCUGGCUACAUUAGUUACACUUAUGUAACGAUAUCAAGGAUAGGUGCACGG